rnacentral:rRNA from 1 species
AUGGCCACGAAGGAGCCGAUCCCGCUGCUGACGCCCCACAAGAUGGGGCAGUUCGAGCUCUCCCACCGGGUGGUGCUCGCGCCACUGACGCGGUGCCGCUCCUACGGCAACGUGCCGCAGCCGCACGCGGCGUUGCACUACUCGCAGCGGGCGACAAAGGGCGGCCUGCUCAUCGCCGAGGCCACCGGCGUCUCCGCCACCGCCCAGGGGUUUCCUGAUACCCCUGGCAUCUGGACGCAGCAGCAGGUAGACGCUUGGAAACCCAUCGUUGAUGCCGUCCACGGCAAGGGCGCUCUGUUUUUCUGCCAGAUUUGGCACGCUGGAAGGGUCUCCACAAACGGCAAUUUUGGGCUCCUGCUUAUAUGGCAAACAAAACAGAGUUUCAGCCGGAUGGGCAUGCGCCGAUCUCUAGCACCGACAAGCAGAUACCGCCUGAUGCUGAGUCCGGCACGGUCUACUCGAAGCCUCGACGGCUUCAUACAGAUGAGGUACCGUUGCGUAGACGAUUUCAGACGCGUCGCUCGGAAUGUCAUUGAGGCGGGGUUUGAUGGUGUAGAGAUCCACGGAGCACAUGGGUUUCUCUUGGAGCAGUUCAUGAAAGAUAGCUCAAAUGACCGUACUGACAUGUAUGGUGGCAGCCUCGAGAACCGAUGUCGCUUUGCUGUGGAGGUGAUUGAUGCUAUCGUCCACGAGAUCGGUGCGGAUCGUGUGGGAAUCAGGUUGUCUCCAUUCGUUGACUACAUGGACUGCUUCGACUCUAAUCCACAUGUGCUUGGUACCUACAUGAUACAACAACUUAAUAAGCACAAAGAGUUUCUUUACUGCCACAUGGUAGAGCCUCACAUGACCAUUGUGGAUGGUCACAUGCAGAUACCCCACCGGCUGUUGCCCUUUAGGAAAGCCUUUAACGGCACUUUUAUUGCCGCUGGAGGGUAUGACCGAGAGGAAGGCAACAAAAUGGUGAUUGAUGGUUAUACUGAUCUCAUUGCCUAUAGGAGGCUAUUUCUCGCUAAUCCAGAUUUGCCUAAGAGAUUCGAGCUAGAUGUCCCCUUGAACAAGUAUGACCGAUCAACCUUCUACACGCAGGAUCCUGUCAUCGGUUACACAGAUUAUCCUUUCCUUAAUGACUCAAAUGCAGAGUAG